rnacentral:rRNA from 1 species
UUAGAGUUUGAUCCUGGCUCAGGAUGAACGCUGGCGGCGUGCCUAAUACAUGCAAGUCGAGCGAACUGAUUAGAAGCUUGCUUCUAUGACGUUAGCGGCGGACGGGUGAGUAACACGUGGGCAACCUGCCUGUAAGACUGGGAUAACUUCGGGAAACCGAAGCUAAUACCGGAUAGGAUCUUCUCCUUCAUGGGAGAUGAUUGAAAGAUGGUUUCGGCUAUCACUUACAGAUGGGCCCGCGGUGCAUUAGCUAGUUGGUGAGGUAACGGCUCACCAAGGCAACGAUGCAUAGCCGACCUGAGAGGGUGAUCGGCCACACUGGGACUGAGACACGGCCCAGACUCCUACGGGAGGCAGCAGUAGGGAAUCUUCCGCAAUGGACGAAAGUCUGACGGAGCAACGCCGCGUGAGUGAUGAAGGCUUUCGGGUCGUAAAACUCUGUUGUUAGGGAAGAACAAGUACAAGAGUAACUGCUUGUACCU